GGGGGCCUACGGGGCGCAGCAGUCGAGAAUCAUUCACAAUGGGGGAAACCCUGAUGGUGCGACGCCGCGUGGGGGAAUGAAGGUCUUCGGAUUGUAAACCCCUGUCAUGUGGGAGCAAAUUAAAAAGAUAGUACCACAAGAGGAAGAGACGGCUAACUCUGUGCCAGCAGCCGCGGUAAUACAGAGGUCUCAAGCGUUGUUCGGAAUCACUGGGCGGAAAGCGUGCGUAGGCUGUUUCGUAAGUCGUGUGGGAAAGGCGCGGGCUAAACCCGCGGAAGGC
rnacentral:rRNA from 1 species